CAACGGCUUAAUCAACCUAAAUACUAAACGAUGUUCAAUCAAGCAUAAUAUUAUUCCUAAUACUACUAAUAAAUUAUACUUCUCCACGUUUUUUCAUUGCAGGCAUAUUUGAAGGAAUAAGCUUUUCCUCUUCAUAUCAUUUAAUUUAAUUUAAUUUAAGUUACUUCUUCAGCAAAGACUGAAAUACUUCAUGAGGUACAUCAAUAUUCCCAAUCCUUCGCAUUUUCUUUUUCCCUUCUUUCUGUUGAUCUAAUAGUUUUUUUCGUCUUGUCAUAUCUCCACCAUACUAUUCAAAGUAUACAAAUACGCGAAAUAAGGCUAACCAUAUAAAAAUAUAUAAGAAGACCUGCAAGAACUCCUCAUUUGUGGAAGUUUUAGUGCUCGAGCCAACGGCGCAUAACCCGGUGACUAAAACUUCAUCAAUGAUCCCGGGUUCAUGAGCAUAUAUAUAGUGGUG